UUGAAGGAUUUGCUUUACACUGUUCCACUGGAUUUAGGGGUAUUGUUUAGGUCCAGCAGUCACGUAGGAUUAACGGAAUUUGGAUUGAGUAGACUCACAGUUUAGUAAGGCUCUGGAUUGGUAGGAUUCAGGCCUAAUUUGUCUUGUAGGUAAGCACAGAGCUCCGCUCGCUGUCAUAUCCCAAGGGAAAGAGUCGGACAAGAGAGCGAGGAUUGGAUAACAGCGCCCUUAUAUCUAAAAGGGCAGGCUUCAAGCUUAUUGGUCCCACAGACCUGUCAGUCCUAAUACAAAGCAUUGUGGUACAUCACGUGACAUGAGCACAUGACCUGGAAGGUCCUUAACCUUAGCAGAACAACAUAAUUAUUAAUCAUGUGACCUAAGGUCCUGGAAGCAACAUUUACACUAUACAAUAUAUAAAAUAUAUACAUAAAAUCAAAGAAGGAAGAGGCGACUAGGGGUUAUCCCACUAAGAGCAUCCUAUCAGUAUGGAGAAACUCUGACUUUGGGGACUUAUUACACAAGGAUCCAUGAUGGGCAUCUCGUACUUGGACAUUUCUUCUUCACAGGCUGUAUCUACACAACACAUUUUCGAUGAAUUAACAGAAGUGAGAAUCCCCAUAAUGAUGUCUGAAUCAUCUCGCUGAUCCCUGGAACGUGAAACAGAGCCAGAGUGGUGCAAUGGAGGAAGGAAGAUCCUGUAAACAUAUAAGGGGUUACUGACUGCUGUCUGAUUAAAUUACAACAGAAGGCCUUGUCAUGUAAUGGACUCUGAUGGCGGAGACUGAUAAGAACAUGGAAAAUUAAUUUCAUGGAGCUAAGGGACAUGCCAGAGAAAGAAAAAUGAGAUGAAGGUUUAAUGGAGUGAUUCUGAGUACAAUCUGGAACUUGUUGCUUGUCCUUAUAAUACAAUGUCUAUGGAUUUAAGUUUAUUAAAUGACCCUCGGG